CCCAGGUUAGCUCAGUUGGUAGAGCGCUCCACUGGAAAUGGAGAGGUCCCGGGUUCGAUACCCGAACCAGGCG
rnacentral:tRNA from 2 species